AAGUCGUAACAUGAUCAUUAACACGUAUCCAAACGUUACACCCCCCUGUGAACCUUCACCUGUACUCGUCCGUCCGUUCGAAAAAGCAGCAAUCCCUGGUAAAUCAUCGCCGAACAGUUUUCGAUUCAGGGACGUCUGCAAGGAGCGUGCAUGUUGUGCGAAGCAAGUGGCCUGGCAUCCCCAAGCAGUUAGUGUCUGAAAGUGUCAUUACCUGUGUAAGGAUGACGCAGUCACGAUCGUUGGAGGCCCACACGGCCGACGACCGGGUCGCUGGGCGCAAGCCCCCCUAUAACAAACCCCCUGCCAAUCGCGGCCGCGAUAAUACGCAGUCGACCAAAAACCGAACAACUGUUAACAAUGGAUAUCUUGGUUCUC
rnacentral:misc_RNA from 1 species